AUUGAACGCUGGCGGAAUGCUUUACACAUGCAAGUCGAACGGCAGCACGGGGGCAGCCCUGGUGGCGAGUGGCGAACGGGUGAGUAAUACAUCGGAACGUGCCCGGCCGAGGGGGAUAACGUAACGAAAGGUACGCUAAUACCGCAUACGAUCUGAGGAUGAAAGCGGGGGACCUUCGGGCCACGCGCGAUCGGAGCGGCCGAUGUCAGAUUAGGUAGUUGGUGGGGUAAAGGGCUACCAAGACGACGAUCUGUAGCUGGUCUGAGAGGACGACCGGCCACACUGGGACUGAGACACGGCCCAGACUCCUACGGGAGGCAGCAGUGGGGAAUUUUGGACAAUGGGCGCAAGCCUGAUCCAGCCAUGCCGCGUGCAGGACGAAGGCCUUCGGGUUGUAAACUGCUUUUGUACGGAACGAAAAGGCUCUGGCUAAUACCUGGAGCUCAUGACGGUACCGUAAGAAUAAGCACCGGCUAACUACGUG
rnacentral:rRNA from 1 species